GCCUUUGUAGCUUAACGGUAAAGCAAUAUACUGUUAAUAUGUUGAUGAGUGUUCAAUUCACUUCAGAGGCU
rnacentral:tRNA from 1 species